rnacentral:lncRNA from 1 species
UUGGAUUACCUGGUGGUUAAAAUACAGUAAUACGCGUUGUUGCACAGUAGCACACGGUAUUGCACAGUAUUCUGAAUUAUUGAUCCUUACGUAAGAAGGCACUACUCAAUAAUUGUUACAGUAGUUACUGUUCAAUAUUUUAUUUUAUUGGUUCAAUAAUUGUUGCGUCGAUAUUUUAUAUUAUUGUUGUUCAAUAAUUAUUACUACACAGUAUUUUCCAUUA